rnacentral:rRNA from 1 species
UGAGGAAUCUUGGACAAUGGGGGAAACCCUGAUCCAGCCAUGCCGCGUGAGUGAUGAAGGCCUUCGGGUUGUAAAGCUCUUUCAGAUGUGAAGAUAAUGACGGUAGCAUCAGAAGAAGCUCCGGCUAACUCCGUGCCAGCAGCCGCGGUAAUACGGAGGGAGCGAGCGUUGUUCGGAAUUACUGGGCGUAAAGCGUAUGUAGGCGGCUUUGUAAGUCAGGUGUGAAAUCCCAGAGCUUAACUUUGGAACUGCAUUUGAGACUGCAAGGCUUGAGUAUCGGAGAGGUUGACAGAAUUCCUAGUGUAGAGGUGAAAUUCGCAGAUAUUAGGAGGAAUACCGAUGGCGCAAGCAGUCAACUGGACGAUUACUGACGCUGAGAUACGAAAGCGUGGGGAGCAAACAGGAUUAGAUACCCUGGUAGUCCACGCCAUAAACGAUGUGUGCUAGCUGUUGGGGCUCUUAGAGCUUCGAUGGCGCAGCUAACGCCUUAAGCACACCGCCUGGGGAGUACGGUCGCAAGAUUA